UGGGGAAUAUUGCACAAUGGGCGCAAGCCUGAUGCAGCGACGCCGCGUGGGGGAUGACGGCCUUCGGGUUGUAAACUCCUUUCGCUAGGGACGAAGCUUUUUGUGACGGUACCUAGAUAAGAAGCACCGGCUAACUACGUGCCAGCAGCCGCGGUAAUACGUAGGGUGCGAGCGUUGUCCGGAAUUACUGGGCGUAAAGGGCUCGUAGGUGGUUUGUCGCGUCGUCUGUGAAAUUCCGGGGCUUAACUCCGGGCGUGCAGGCGAUACGGGCAUAACUGGAGUACUGUAGGGGUAGCUGGAAUUCCUGGUGUAGCGGUGAAAUGCGCAGAUAUCAGGAGGAACACCGAUGGCAAAGGCAGGUUACUGGGCAGUUACUGACGCUAAGGAGCGAAAGCAUGGGUAGCGAACAGG
rnacentral:rRNA from 1 species